rnacentral:rRNA from 1 species
AUGUGGUUCUGCCGCGUCGGCCAGGAUCUCCGGUGGUCGCGUCACGGCUACGACAUUGGCUGCUUGGACAUCGCGGGCUCUCCUCCCACAAAGAGACACUUCGUCGACGUUGCCGCCGUUAAUGGGAGGUUCUUCUUCUGCGAGUCCAAUGACUCUCUCGGCACGCUCGACUUCCACGCCAACGACGCCUCGGAGAAGCCGGAGGUGCGGCUGGGCGCCAUCGCCGUGCCCUGCGUCCACGUCCCGACGGGCUUUACGGCCACGUACGUCGUCGAGUCCUGCAACGACCUGUUCCUCGUCCAUAUCGCCUUCCACGGAUUAUUCGUCGACCGACCAGGGGAGCUCCGCGUCUAUCGGAUGGAUUUCUCGGAGCCGCCGGCUUGGCGCAAGACGGACUGCAUCGGGGAUCGGGAUUUCAUCCUCGGUAAAUCCAAUUUUGCAGCGUCCUGCUCUGCCAGCGGAUGUGGACUCAAGCCCAACUGCGUCUACUGGUUGAAUUGCCUCAGCUCAGAGAACAGUGAUCUGCAUGUCUUCGGCCUGAAGGACGGCUCAUCAGAAAUUGUCAAGCAGUUUGAGAAUGUCGUGGGUCUCCGGAAAUCCUGGUGGAUCGUCCCUGUCGUUGCAUAG